AUAUAUGGAAGAACACCAGUGGCGAAGGCGGCUGUCUGGUCUGCAACUGACGCUGAGGCUCGAAAGCAUGGGUAGCGAACAGGAUUAGAUACCCUGGUAGUCCAUGCCGUAAACGAUGAGUGCUAGGUGUUGGAGGGUUUCCGCCCUUCAGUGCCGGAGCUAACGCAUUAAGCACUCCGCCUGGGGAGUACGACCGCAAGGUUGAAACUCAAAGGAAUUGACGGGGGCCCGCACAAGCGGUGGAGCAUGUGGUUUAAUUCGAAGCUACGCGAAGAACCUUACCAGGUCUUGACAUCUUGCGCUAACCUUAGAGAUAAGGCGUUCCCUUCGGGGACGCAAUGACAGGUGGUGCAUGGUCGUCGUCAGCUCGUGUCGUGAGAUGUUGGGUUAAGUCCCGCAACGAGCGCAACCCUUGUUACUAGUUGCCAGCAUUAAGUUGGGCACUCUAGUGAGACUGCCGGUGACAAACCGGAGGAAGGUGGGGACGACGUCAGAUCAUCAUGCCCCUUAUGACCUGGGCUACACACGUGCUACAAUGGACGGUACAACGAGUCGCAAACUCGCGAGAGUAAGCUAAUCUCUUAAAGCCGUUCUCAGUUCGGACUGUAGGCUGCAACUCGCCUACACGAAGUCGGAAUCGCUAGUAAUCGCGGAUCAGCAUGCCGCGGUGAAUACGUUCCCGGGCCUUGUACACACCGCCCGUCACACCAUGGGAGUUUGUAACGCCCAAAGUCGGUGGCCUAACCUUUAUGGAGGGAGCCGCCUAAGGCGGGACAGAUGACUGGGGUGAAGUCGUAACAAGGUAGCCGUAGGAGAACCUGCGGCUGGAUCACCUCCUUUCUAAGGAA
rnacentral:rRNA from 2 species